CAGUCGCCACGGUAAUACGAAGGGUGCAAGCGUUAAUCGGAAUUACUGGGCGUAAAGCGUGCGUAGGCGGUUUGUUAAGUCUGCUGUGAAAUCCCCGGGCUCAACCUGGGAAUGGCAGUGGAUACUGGCAAGCUAGAGUGUGUCAGAGGAUGGUGGAAUUCCCGGUGUAGCGGUGAAAUGCGUAGAGAUCGGGAGGAACAUCAGUGGCGAAGGCGGCCAUCUGGGACAACACUGACGCUGAGGCACGAAAGCGUGGGGAGCAAACAGGAUUAGAUACCCGAGUAGUCCCUGUCUCUUAUAC
rnacentral:rRNA from 1 species